GCCAAAGAUCUAGCCCCUCCCCUCUCCCUUCCAUCAAGCACAAAUUAAAAUAUUCUCACGCCUGAGUAAAGACGAUUGAAAACUCAAUAGGAGCUAUGCCCGUACCGCAAGGGAAAAAUGAAAUAAAAUGAAACAUUUAAAGCCCCAAAAAGUAGAGAUCAAACCUUGUACCUUUCGCAUCAUGGUUUAACUAGUCCCCCCGAGCAAAAAGAAUUUUAGUUUGAACCCCCGAAACUGAAUGAGCUACCCUAAGGCAGCUAAACGAGCACACUCGUCCCUGUGGCAAAAGGGUGAGAAGACCUUAUAGUAGCGGUGACAAACCUAACGAAUUCAGUAAUAGCUGGUUACUUGAGAAAAGAAUUUUAGUCCGACCUAAAGCACCCACUAACCCUAAUUAACGCUUUAGAGCAAUUCGAAUAAGGUACAGCUUAUUUGAAACAGGACACAACCUCCGGCAACGGGUAAUUCUAACUGCAUCCUGAACUAAGUGGGCCUAARAGCAGCCACCUUAAAAGAACGUCAAAGCCUAAUUCACUCCGCACCCAAUACCUCAACUCUUAGAGAACCCCUCAACACUAUCAAGUACUUCUAUGCUCCCCAUAGAAAUUUUUAUGUUAAAACUAGUAAUAAGAAGCCAAUUCUCUUAAUGUAAGUGUAAAUCAGAACGGACCCCCCACUGAUACUUAUCAACAACUAACAGCACCCGCCCAGAAAACCCUGUUCCCCCCCCCUGUUAACCUAACACAAGAACAUUUCAAGAAAGAUUGUAAGAAAAAGAAGGAACUCGGCAAAUACCCAUCCCGCCUGUUUACCAAAAACAUCGCCUCUUGAGCAAAAUAAGAGGUCUAGCCUGCCCAGUGACACUAGUUCAACGGCCGCGGUAUCCUGACCGUGCGAAGGUAGCGUAAUCACUUGUUUUUUAAAUAAAGACUAGUAUGAAAGGCAUCACGAGGAUUGACCUGUCUCCUUUUUCCAAUCUAUGAAACUAAUCUUCCCGUGAAGAAGCGGGAAUUCCCUAAUAAGACGAGAAGACCCUAUGGAGCUUUAGACGUGCCACACUGCUGUCAGUUCCUAUCCCACCUUAGGAAACCUCCGCAGCAUCUUACCGCACAGUCUUAGGUUGGGGUGACCGCGGAGUAAAACUUACCCUCCACGCUGAAUGGAAGCUUCCCCUAAGCAAAGAGCCACAACUCUAUGCAUCAGCAAACUGACAGCAAUUGACCCAAUUACUUGAUCAACGGAACAAGUUACCCUAGGGAUAACAGCGCAAUCCCCCUUAAAAGCCCCUAUCGACAGGGGGGUUUACGACCUCGAUGUUGGAUCAGGGUAUCCCAGUGGUGCAGCCGCUACUAAAGGCUCGUUUGUUCAACGAUUAAAACCCUACGUGAUCUGAGU
rnacentral:rRNA from 1 species